AAAAAGGAAAGAUAUGCAAUCUGCAACUACCUUUGAUAAAACCAAGUGUGCUACCACAUCAAAGGGUACUCCAGGUGACCGACCAACAGAUGAGUCAAUAUUGACUGGAGCACAAGUGUUCUUAAAAAGCUGGAGAUGUCCAACCAAGACUGUUGCCUUAGGCACAGUACUUGGUCGAGACCCAAAUCAUAAA